rnacentral:rRNA from 1 species
UACCAGCACCCCGCGUGGUCGGGACGAUUAUUGGGCCUAAAGCAUCCGUAGCCGGCCUUACAAGUCCUCCGUUAAAUCCAGCUGCUUAACAGAUGGGCUGCGGAGGAUACUAUAAGACUAGGAGGCAGGAGAGGCAAGCGGUACUCAGUGGGUAGGGGUAAAAUCCGUUGAUCCAUUGAAGACCACCAGUGGCGAAGGCGGGUCUCUGGGCCGAUACUGACGCUGAGGAGCGAAAGCGUGGGGAGCGAACAGG